AUGAAAACUCCACUUGAACUCUUGCUUGGUCAAACUCCUGAUUACAUGUUCCUUAAGGUGUUUGGGUGUGCAUGCUGGCCACACCUCCGUCCUUAUAACAAUCGCAAGCUUGAGUUUAGAUCCAAACGAUGUGUCUUCCUUGGGUAUAGUUCUGUUCACAAAGGGUAUAAAUGUCUUCAUGUUCCAUCUAAUCGUGUGUAUAUUUCCCGCGAUGUUGUCUUUGAUGAACAUGUUUUUCCCUUUUCUGCUCUACCCGCAUCUGUUGCUGCCUCCACACCGCCUGUGCACCCCUCCAGUACCUUGCCUGGUCAAUUUUUAGAUGCUACACAUUCGCCCCUUUUGUUGUCUAACCAUGGCGCAGGUAUUGGAAGAGGCGCACGCUUGCAGCUUCUGGACGAGGAAGAACCACCGGCUCCCUCCUCCACGACCCCGCACGACGACCAGCCGGCCACCUGCAUGCCCCAUGCAGCUUUCCCGCCAUCUGGCCAUGCCCCGGCUCAGCGGACUGCCUCGCCUGGGCCCGGGACUCCUCCGCCGGCUGCAUCCACGCCGGCCUCACCUGGGCCGGCCUCAGCUAAGCCGGCCUCCCCUGUUCGGCAUGCUACGCCGCACUCGCCUGGGCCGGCCUCGCCUGUCGGGUCUCCUACGCUGAGCUCACCUGCGCCAUUCGUGUCGCCUGGGCCAGCUUUGUCCUCCGGUGGACUGUCAUCCCUUGUUCUGUCGCCAUCGGCCACGUCUUCACCGGCUUCCUCACUGUUGGACUCUUCUGAGGCGGUGGUUCCUUGCCGCUGUCACUGGCUCCUUCACCACCACCUGCCCCUGCUCCUGUAUUGCGUCCUCAUACACGCAGCAAGAGUGGCGUGGUUCAACCGAAGAAGCGCACGGACGGGAUUGUUGCCUGGCUCGCGACUUGCAUGGCGCAAGCACAGGCGGAUCCUACUGCUGAACCAAGGCAUUUUCAGGUAG
rnacentral:rRNA from 1 species